CAGGAAACUCCCUUUGGGUGAAAUGGCAUGGAGGGAGGGAAGGGAAUUCAUCAAUUACUAUCAUUAAAAGGUAGUAAGAUAUCAGAAGGGUUUUCUAAAAUACUUCAUAAGUAUUUUCUCCACUCAUAAUAAAGAAAGUUAAUGGAAAUCAUUGAUUGUAAGUGUCACUGCUCUUGUCUACCUAGCGUCCAUUCUACCUUCUUUCAUAAUGGAACCCUGAGUUUUCUUAGCCUCGUGUCCCAGGGGAAGCUAAUUCCAUCUACAUCUUCAGGGAUAGCCUAGUUCAUUGAAGAUUAUUCCCCUUCCCUUUAAAUUGACAUGUGACCUAAUCUGUCCAGUGAGAUAAAGGAAAGCCUACUGGGAAUCUUCUGGAAAAAGUUUCCUCACUCCCAAGAGGGAGUCACAAAAGAGAUAGUUUCUCUUCUUCUGAGUUGCUGUGCCUGGAGGAGAUGACUGGAACUGCUGCAGUCAUCUUGCUGCUUGCCUGAGAAUGAAGCCAACACCCAGGAUGUUGGAAUAGAGAGGUGGGCGGGGAGUGUAUGUGGGGGUGAAGUUGAAGACACUGUGAGCCGAAAUCACCCCAACUGACACAGAACUUCCGAUCUGUUAUCUCAGUCAUCACAGCCAUCUUUGAGCUAUGAGCUAGAGUCAUUUUCUAGGAGCUGGGUACCUGCCUGAAGAAAGUGAAGCAUAAGCUGGACCCUUUCUCCCAUAAAUGAAACCCAGACCUUUGGUGCCAGAUGAUCAUUGAAGCCAAGGGUUAUACUGUAGCCUGAGCUAUCUUUGAGGAAAUGAGAAAUGCCUGAUCGCAUGGAAGAAAAAUUGAAGUUCAAGAAGUUUAAGAACCUGCCUACAUUAUAAAGCUUGAAGAUGGCAGCUGGAUCUGGGCUCAGGCAUUUCUGGUCCAGGGAUGAACAACUCUCAACCUUUGUUGACUGAGGACUGCUCUUCCUGUUUCCAGAUGAUACCAAAUAAAAUGCUAUCUUCUAAUAAACUUGCCAUCAUCCUCAAAGACAAAUUUCAGAAAAGAAAUAAGAAAGAGUAUUGCAAUUACUGUCUUCCGUCUUAGCCAUGACUCAGACAGGUAAGUGCUUCUUCUGUACUUCAUCAUCUUCAAAUUUAGUAAAGCAGUCAGGUGUGUCUUUUAUGAUGGUAGAAGUUGUUUCCCUUUUAAUUCUACCAGUCACUUUAUCCUCCUUCUCCCUUCAUUUUUCUCAAUCCUCCUACAUUACUAAGCUUUCACGAGGCAUUGUUUGACUGACAUUACAGUCAGCAUUUUUUAUAUAACUAAGAUAUCAUGGAAUAAGACAUAAGCUAAAUUCUCCACUGAUAUAGCUCUUGAACUGAUCUUGAGCGGCAUGCACAAAGAUCAAUAAAUUGCUUUUUUUAAUAAUUUAUUUUUUGGAUAGUCUACUCUUCCAUCCUCAAGAAGAUAAUCUCUGAAAUAGGAGGUUGAAUCACAUGAAACUGCUAAUAUUCAACCAAUCUGACUUAGAAAAAUAUCAAUUUCAGGUGGUUCAAACUAAAUAUAAUUAGGAGAGUUCUUCUCUUCAUAGAACAAUCAAUUCCUUAAAAAAGAAGCAAGACUUGUGGGUUGCAAAACAAAAAGAUUUUUGGAAAAUAGGGCAUUUAGCCUUGGAGAAGAGAGAACAGGCUUGUUCUCAUCCCCAUGCAUAUGCUCCAUUCUGACCAUCAUGGGCCCUCUGAGAAAGCUCUGGGAUGGGAAUGAAGUCUCACUGACGAUAAUGGGUAAGCAAGGCAAUAGGGGCUUUCAGGUGACCAUUCACACUGGAUAGAAAUAUUCUCAGUCUCUUAGCCCACUCAAAGAAAUUCAUCCAUAUAGCCUUUUCUCAAUCCUUGCCACCAAUUUUACUAUUUUGUUUCCUUUAGGUUAUGUUCAACUACUCAGACCUUUAGUCAGUGCCAAGGAAUUUGUGGAGAUGCUGAUCUCAGGCCACCUCCCUUUCCAAAGUAGGCAAAGGGAUGUGCUGCCUGAAAUUCUAUUGUGAGAGGAUUUCUCUUCUUCAACAUCCUUUUGGGCCAUAUCUGAGGUAAGCUAUAUUCUGGUUAUCUACCAAUGUGUAACAGACGACCUCAAACAUAGUGGUAUAAAACAACUAUUUUAUUAUGCUUAUGGAUUCUGUGGGUCUGGAGUUCAGAUGGGGCACAGCAGAGAUGGUACCACAAUGUCUGGGGCCUCAGCUGAAACACUUAAAGGCUGGGAUUGAUUCUAUAGCCAGAGUCUGGAAUUGUUUCAGGGCAUCUUCACUUACGUGUUUUGUGGUUAUUGCUGGCUUUGGUGGGACCUCAUCCAGACUAUCAGCUAGAACAUCUACACAUGGCUCUCCAUGUGGUCUGAGUAAGCUGGGCUUCCUCCCAACAUGAGCAACUAAAGAGAAUCAGGUAGAAGUUGUAUCAUCUUUUAUGACUUAGCCUCAGAGGUCACCUAGCACUACUUCUGCCAUGGUAAUAAGCCUGCCCAUAUUCAAGGGAAGGGAAUAUGGAUUCCCUACCUCUCAAUGAGAGGAGUUUCAAAGGCCCAUCAUAAAGAGAGUAUGUAGGAUGGCCAACAUUGUUGCAGUGUAUAAAUGCUAUCUAUUAUUAUUAGGCAGUCCCAGAGCAUUUUAUUGGAUGCAGAUUAUUGAAAUAAUUAUUCCCAAUAGUUGAGUUUCACUUAUCAAAUCUUCUUGAGCAAUCUGGGAUGAUUUUUGCAAACUUUCAUGUGACUUUAAGCAUUUUUGUUCAUUUUUUCAGUAUUGCAAUAUUUUUCACUCUAUUUAUUUUUAAAAUUUCCAAUUCUUUGAGAGCCUAAUACUGUGUGUAGCAGUAUCAGCUGUCAGCUGGAAAAGUGGCCUUCCAUCAAAAGAAAACUGAGGUUUAUUUUUCAUUGGCCUCAAACUAUAACUAGCUACAAUGAUUAAUGAUGGCCCAAAGCCCAUGAAAAUCAUAUGAGGAUCAAUGCUAGUUUUUCUAUCUUUCUUUAAAAUCUAGGAAGAUAUUUCUGUCUCCUGUCUAGCAGCAAGGCAACCAGAAGAUCGAUCUGCCUUCAGGCCAGCAGUGCAAGCAACCUUAAGCUUGUCCUUGCAUUCACAUUGCGGUUGCACAUGCUUUGUAUUACAGCUUCAAUUCUGACAGCAAACACUGAAUGCUGGCCACGAAAUGUCAAAUACAGCUAAGGAACCUUUAAAUAUAAACUAAAUGUUUAUGCAAAGAUAGUAAAAACAUGUUAAAUUAAAUUAAGUGAUCGGUGAUGGUUGAAAAUUACAAGGAUGAAAAGGCUAAUGAGGAGGUAGACAAAAUUACUUUGAUGAGUGUGUUUAAAUUUUGUGCAAUUAUUCUAGGUUGCAUACAAGUUAUAAAAACAUAAACUGAAUACUGUACAUGUUAAUUAUUACACUAAUUUGCUUAUAGACAAUUCAUUUAGAGCUAGAGGCAAAUAUAAAAGUUUAUUAAAGCAUUUGCAAACCAGCAUCGCAGGAAUAAGUGGAUGGGAAUAAAGUAUAAAUAAGAAAAUAAAAAAGCAGUGUGUGCAUGUGAAGACUCAAACAUGCACACACUGCUGGAGAAGAAAUGGAUACAUAUGCCUUAAAGCAUUUAAAGGACCAUAAACCUACCCUGUGCUGUAAUCUCUAUAAGGGAAGAUGACAUCAUAUUUAUUUUCCUCAAUAUUUUAUUUCCAUUCUAUAAAUAUUUCUUAAUUAUUAAUGCUGUAUCAAAUUAUCAAUAUUUGAAAAAAGAAAACUUGGAAUAUUAAGCUUCAUUUUCAAUCAAUUUGUUUCUUUGCAUAGUUGUGUUCAACCAAAAAUUUUCAACCAAUUUAUUUUCUGUCAGUCAACCUGGAUCCAUGCUAGGGAAAACACUAUCAUAAGCAAAAAGGCCUAUGUGUAAUGUAUUUGAGGAGAAAAUAUGUGAAAAAAUUUCUUAAGAUUUAAAUAAUAGGUCAAGACAAAAAUAGGAAAUCUGUCACAAGGUUCUCUACAAGUAAUUAUUAAAACAAUUUGUAAACUUCCUCUUUUGUUUUUGGCUGUAUCUGAGGCAUACAGAAGUUACCAGGCCUGGAAUUAAACCCGAGCCACAGCAGUGACAAUGCUGAAACCUUAACUGCUAUCCCACCAGGGAAUUCCUAAACAUCCAUUUCUUAAUAAUGUGGUAUAUUAGUAAUAUUAACCAUUCCAACACAAAAUACCAACAAAUAAUUGAUGAAAUAUAAUAAACAUCCUUUUUUAAAUAUAAAACUGAGAUAAGAGGAGACUAAAGGAAUUCCCUUCAAGAACCAAAAAUGGAGAGGAAAACUGAAACAGGAGAAUCGUAAGGGGUGGGAGUUGAAGCUCUUGCUGUUCGAAGUUUGGGGGUGGUGGGCUUUAGUGGUUUCUGUAACCAAGGGGAUUAGGUUUUAACUGCCAAACAUGAAUAAGCUCUUACACAUGAGUCCAGAGAAAAGCAGAAAGAAAAUAAGUGCAUAAAGCUAUGCCACAGUGAAAGAGUGGAACAGAAGCAAAAUCUACCACUGCCAGGAAGACAGCUAUCCUGUCUCCCAGGUCCCACACCUGAAAAGUUGGGAAACAAGUUUUGCACUCAGUUGUAUUUCUGGUGCAAAUACAUACUCCCUUUGUGGUCUGGUACAUCCAACCCAUGAAAUGAACAUAAAAUGUGGUCCCCAUACAGUGACUCCCCUGGGAGAAAUAAAUACCAAUCUUGUCUGUGGAGUCACCCUCAACCCAGACCUCAAAGGAUUUUUGCAGAUGAAGCCUCACUAAACAUGAGUCCACCAGCCAAAAAAAAUUAGAUGUUAGUAGCCAACACAGCCAACCAUUAGAUUAGACCAAGUCCCUUAGAUGAUGAGAUUAUUAUGUACCAUGAAAUAUGUCUAAAUAUAUUUUCUAGAAAAGUAUGAUAAAAUAUCAAGGUACUAUCAAAAACACUAGACAGGCUAAAAAAAACCCCAACUUAUUUGGUUUGAAAUGAAAAAUAUAGUCAUUAAAAUACAAACUCAGUAGAUAGAUUAAACCACAGAUCAGACAGAGCUAAAGUGUGAAUUAGUGAAAUAGAAGACAGAGUUGAAGGAUUUUUUUUUUCCUUUUUGGCCCGACCUGUGGCAUAUGGAAGUUACUGGGUCAAGGAUCAAAUCUGAGCUGCAUCUGUGCAACACUGGAUCCUUAACCUGCUACACCACAGCAGGAACUCCGAGCUGAAGGAUUUA